AAAAAUAACUUUGUAUAUGCUAAUAUGCACAUGACCAAGCAAUGGUGCAAAGGGGUCGGAAGCAUCACAACGACCACUCAUGGGUAAGCACCAACUAAUGGUUGACGGUACUUUCUGUGUUUCAGCAUAUGUCAUGGUAUGACUGCACGUUGUUCCCAGCAGGUUUUCCAAUCUGCAAACAAGCUACGGGAGGGAUGGUUGGAGUGUAGAGUUCCCCAAAAGCUUGCCAGCAGAAAGGGUUGUUUAGGUGGUAGUGGGGUACUUGCACUGGUUUAAGUUGUACUCCAGUAAGUGUGAUUCCUGAACAAGGUUCUUUUGUCACAAUAGAACUGGUCUAUCAUAAUAGGUGUUUGAACUUCAGAGACUUGUAUGUUUGAGAACCUCACGUCUUGAACCAGCCCUAUACCACCCUGCAAGGAGAAUUCAGUUUGUUUAGCUCAGUGUAUGCCGUCAGUGUUGAGACUGUUCUCAGGGGAGGAUAUUGUCAGGUCGUGGACCAGCACUCCUUGACAGUUGUCGAACUUGAGAUGGCACUGUGAGCUGUUGACAAUAGUGAUACCAGCCACUACGACGUUGGAACUACCAUAAAACCUCAAUGCCUGCAUCAGAGUUUAACCUGUGGCAUCCUCUCAAGCUCCUGAUUGUACUGCAAGAGUAUAUCCAAGGAAUGAAGCAUACUGUGCCAUUUGUUCACGAGUGGGGAUGGAUAACUUGGGCACCAGAUUUUGUGGAGAAACAAAACAACCAAUAUCCUUUGUAGCAUAUAUGCUCUCCUGUGGUCCAAGAGAUCACGUGCAAUUAGAGCGCGAGUGUGUCCAAUUUGGCAGCUAAUCCAAAGAAGAUGCAGAAUACUCUACCAGAAAAUGAUUAACCUAAGCGAGACCACCUUGCUGAUGUACGGAAUUACCUACUCAUGCUCCAAUUGGGCGAAA